rnacentral:rRNA from 1 species
UACGAAGGGGGCUAGCGUUGCUCGGAAUCACUGGGCGUAAAGCGCACGUAGGCGGAUCUUUAAGUCAGGGGUGAAAUCCCAAGGCUCAACCUUGGAACUGCUUUUGAUACUGGGGAUCUCGAGUCCGGAAGAGGUGAGUGGAACUGCGAGUGUAGAGGUGAAAUUCGUAGAUAUUCGCAAGAACACCAGUGGCGAAGGCGGCUCACUGGUCCGGUACUGACGCUGAGGUGCGAAAGCGUGGGGAGCAAACAGG